GCCCAAAAAUAAGCGGUUUCAGGACUUAAAAUCCCUCGGUUUAUACCGUGCCGGUUCGAGUCCGGCCCUGGGCACCA
rnacentral:tRNA from 1 species